GUGCCUAAUACAUGCAAGUCGAACGCGAAAGUCCCGCAAGGGGCAAGUAGAGUGGCAAACGGKUGAGUAACGCGUGGGCGACCUACCUUCGAGUGGGGGAUAACCUUCCGAAAGGAGGGCUAAUACCGCAUGACAUCCCGUGUUUGGAUACACGGACAUCAAAGUCGGGGAUCGCAAGACCUGACGCUUGGAGAGGGGCCUGCGUCCGAUUAGCUAGUUGGUGGGGUAACGGCCCACCAAGGCUUCGAUCGGUAUCCGGCCUGAGAGGGCGGACGGACACACUGGGACUGAGACACGGCCCAGACUCCUACGGGAGGCAGCAGUAGGGAAUUGUUCGCAAUGGGCGCAAGCCUGACGACGCAACGCCGCGUGGAGGAUGAAGACCUUCGGGUCGUAAACUCCUUUCGACCGAGAUGAACACCCACCGACCUAAUACGUUGGUGGGCUGACAGUAUCGAGGGAAGAAGCCCCGGCUAACUCCGUGCCAGCAGCCGCGGUAAUACGGGGGGGGCAAGCGUUGUUCGGAAUUACUGGGCGUAAAGGGUUCGUAGGUGGCGCACUAAGUCGGACGUGAAAUCCCUCAGCUUAACUGGGGAACUGCGUCUGA
rnacentral:rRNA from 1 species